GACGAACGCUGGCGGCGUGCUUAACACAUGCAAGUUGAACGGAAAGGCCCUGCUUUUGUGGGGUGCUCGAGUGGCGAACGGGUGAGUAACACGUGAGUAACCUGCCCUUGACUUUGGGAUAACUUCAGGAAACUGGGGCUAAUACCGGAUAGGAGCUCCUGCUGCAUAGUGGGGGUUGGAAAGUUUCGGCGGUUGGGGAUGGACUCGCGGCUUAUCAGCUUGUUGGUGGGGUAGUGGCUUACCAAGGCUUUGACGGGUAGCCGGCCUGAGAGGGUGACCGGCCACAUUGGGACUGAGAUACGGCCCAGACUCCUACGGGAGGCAGCAGUGGGGAAUAUUGCACAAUGGGCGGAAGCCUGAUGCAGCAACGCCGCGUGCGGGAUGACGGCCUUCGGGUUGUAAACCGCUUUCGCCUGUGACGAAGCGUGAGUGACGGUAAUGGGUAAAGAAGCACCGGCUAACUACGUG
rnacentral:rRNA from 1 species